AUAUAUGUGGGUAGAUUUUUUUUUUAAUUUGCUUCUUUCUAUUUACAAACAUGUAUUGAUAAGGAGAGAGAAAAGCCUGUUUCUGUGGAAAUGAGGAUUCCAUCUCUUGGUUUUCCCUUGUGCUGAAGAAAAUGUCCCUGCAUUUCCUGAUGAUCCCCCUCUAGUGGAGAGCCCGCAGUCUGCAUAUAAAGCCUGUUAUAAAAAGACUAUUAAAAUUGCUGAAACUCUGCAAAGAGCAAUUAUCAAGCCCCUACUUGAAAGAUCUACUUUAAUACAUUUCAAGUUUAUCCAUUAUGUUGAUGGGGUAAGCCAUAAUCGUAAAUCUGUGUUUUUAUUAGUGUAUGUC
rnacentral:lncRNA from 1 species